AUAAUGUAAGUUGUGUUUUCCCUUGAGAAGAUGUGGAAAGCGUUGCUGGACAGGGCUGUGCGUCUGCAGCAGGACAUCCAUCACUUCACUAAGCUCUAUGAUCAAAUCAUGCUGUUUGUGCUCCUGAUGAACACUACAACACAAGUGGCAAUGACAUUUCAAGGUCUCGCACCAGCUUGGGUUUAUGAAGCACUGGAGGCAGUCUUCUUGGCUUUUUAUACGAUGGAGUGUGUGUUAAAGCUCAUAAGUUUUGGCUUAAAAUACUUCAAAAGCAUGUGGAAUAUUCUGGAUUUCUCGGUCACUUUGGUAGGGUUGGUUGACCUUUUUCUGGACAGCAAACAGUAUGAUAGUGAGCGUUUCACCACUUUUUUCCACCUCCUUAAAAUGUUCAAAGUAUGUCGAGCGUUCAGGAUUUUACGCACACUGCGGUUUUUCAGUGGUCCCAAGGUCGUCAUGAAAGUAAUAGGAAAGUCUUUGAAGAUGAAUGGAAUCAUCUUCGUGCUCAUGUUUUGCAUCUUUGUCAUGUUUUCCAUUCUUUUCCGACAAAACUUAAGCAAGUCCGACCCAAAGCGAUUUGGUUCCAUGCUCAGUACCAUGUCUACACUCCUCCAGCUGUUGACACUUGAUGACUGGAUUAACGUCUAUUACACCAGUCGAGACAAUGGUGCACCCGAUGUUAUCAUCUUCAUCGUCUUGUACAUCUUGACUGAAUACUACAUCCUUUUAAGUCUGAUCUAUGCAGUGACGGUGGACACCAUCCUCAGCAACAGAAAGAACAUGGUUGGGGAACAGCCAUCGCCGAUCCAGAUGACAGAGCAAAUCAAGAGUGAGCCGACUGACGACCAGACAACCAAGGUUGCUUUCUCAGAAAACUAUUUUAUUGAAGGGAAGAACAUUCGGAUGGAACACUGUUUGAGGAUCCUGGAAGCUCUGGAGAAGAAUCAGCAGUUGUUUCGGAAACAAACCAAUUACCUUUACAGGCUGAUUGACAGCACUGAAAUGGGACCUUCCUUUUACCGUAGAAAGGAAGCAGAUGAGGAUGAACUCGAGGACAGCCAUUGAGAAGAUGGUCUCGUGUAGUAUAUUCACAAUAUAGUAUAUGUGUGGAAUAUAUUCUUUAUCUCAAUUAUAAUAUAGCAUGAAAUGCUGUCAAUGGAGAGUGAUGAGCGUGUUUAGCGUGUUUCCUGCUCUACAUCAGUAUGUGGGAAGCAUUGAUUUCAAUUGUUUGCUGUAAACUAACAGGGUGAGUAAGAAAGAAGCACUUCCAGGGACAGGACAGGGUACUCUGGUCCCAGGGCAGCUGAUACAGGAGCACUGGAACAACAUCUUAUGUGGUGACCUGCAGGAAGAAAAAGGAGUUCUGGUAAUAAGGCAGCCAAAACAAGGACCUCUGGCACAGAGAGCACUGGGACAGGCAUGACACACAUCACUAGGAGCUCAAACUCUGGCCAGGGGUUUUGGGUUGUUCAUGGCAGGAACUUUUUGGGACCUCUUGUAUUGGUGCAGCCGAGAGUACUGGGUGGUCUUUUCAGCCACUUCUGGUACUCAGAAAUCAUCACAUAGAGCACUGAGUUUGGGACAGCCAUGAGAUGCAGCCAUAACAGAAACCUCUGGAACAGCCAUGACAAGAACAUCUAAGACUGGACCGAGGCAUGGACCUCUCUGAGUGGGACCUCUGGGACCCAGCUGACUCUGCAGGGACUCGUUGUCCAGAACAAGAUUUUGAGAGAACAAGAAGCCACUACAGAAAAUUCUGGAGCACCAUGAGAAGAACCGCUGAGGAACCAGGACAGUGGAGUGCUGAGACGAGGGGGCCAUUACAUGCCUUUAAGCUGGCCACGGCAAGAACCUCUUGUGAGCAGUGCAGAAGUGAAAGUGAAAAAAGUGGAAGUGAUGUGACAUACAGCCAAGUAUGGUGACCCAUACUCAGUAUUCGUGCUCUGCAUUUAACCCAAGCAAAGUGCACCAAAUAGCAGUAAACACACACACACACCGAGCAGUGGGCGUCAUUUAUGCUGCAGCAUCCGGGGAGCAGUUGGGGGUUCAGUGCCUUGCUCAAGUGCUCCUCAGUCGUGGUAUUGCUGGCCCGAGACUCAAAACAAAAACUUUAGGGUUAGGAGUUAAACUCUCUAACAACGAGGCCAUGACUUCCCCCAGGCAGAUGGACCUUCGCCCGAACAGGGACUUGAACUCUGGACCCUCAGAUUAAAAGUCUGAUGCUCUACCUACUGAGCUAUCUGGGCUCUUGAGAUGAGAUGGGACAAGGACCUCUUGGAGUGAUGACAUCAUGUUGUGGAGGCAGUAAUGGGACAGUGACGUACACGUCCUCAAGUGAUCUUAGGCUCGGCAGCCGAAACCAUUUGUGGUGAAUGAUCUUCCAUUGGGGAAAUGUCUGGGGUUGGAGCUCCUUUUCUCCACAACUUUUAUGGAGACCUGAGACAACACACCAAACAAAACAUUAGCCUAAAAACAUUACAUUACAAAAGCAAAUGUGGCUGAUCUUAAGCUCCGUACCUGAAACCAGACCGAGCCGCUGCUUAGGUUUUUGCUGCAGGAGGCUAUAGAUCAAACGGCUGCAGAAACACAGAAGCAUUAUUUGAUUACGACCUUUAGCCUUUCUAUCUGCACUAUUCAAUUGGUAGAUCUGAUCUGGAAGAUCAUUUGUAUGAUAUGAUUCAGAUUUACUUUUUUUUUUUUUUUUUUGUGAUGAAGAGCUCACCUUUUGACAAUUCAGGCUCUGACCAAAGCUUUAGUUUGGUCUUGUGUAGAUCCUCACCAGUUGGAAAACGGCCACACGGCAUUGUGAACAAGAUGACCCCAAGAGACCACGUCACUGCAGACAUUUGCAUGGUACUUGCCCUUGACUCUGUACUCGGGAGGGUAGAAGUCAAUGCCUGGAGGAAAGAGAUUUCAUCUCAAAUGCAAGUUUGCAUUACCAAGCUAUUUUUUUCUGUCAGCUUUGAGGAAUAAUACAUACCAUACAGUGUUGUGCAGGCAGACUUUCUCAGAUCUCCACACCUAAAGUCAAUCAAUCUGACCUGCAGGGUGUCCUCCUUACUCAUGAUGAAGUUUCCCAACUUUAUGUCACUAUGGAAAAUGCCACAAGAGACAACACGUGCAUUGCCUGCCACCUGAUGUGUCGAACUAAACCUUUAUUGAGUCUGCUUCCAUGGCCCUCCAAGAAGUUCUCGCAGGUUGACGGACACUCGGGGACUAUGACAGUUGUCCCGAGUCCUGCCAGUCCAGCAGCUUUAUAACCCCUGGCAUUCUGGGUGCCUUGAUGUCCAGGAGUGACUCUAUGAGCUGCACCUCAGUCUGACCAGGGCGGAUCACCUUGAAGUGUUUUUUGGCAGCUCUAAAGAAAGAGGGCAGCCUCAAGAAGCUCUUUUUCCUCCUCCACACUCCUCUGGGCGUCUCCCACACCAACAGGAGGUUCAUCUUGGGGAUGAAGAUGUUGCUCCACCGUGUCGGUGCUGGAUGUUGGGGGUAUAACUAUGAUGGUGAUUGAUUGUACACCUCGCCAUCAUUCACUGGAAUAAUUCGAGAAAUUUGCUGUCUCACCACUCUUAAAACCGUUAACAACUCUCGUUUUAGACCACUAAUGUUACUGCAAACCCACAAAAUGUUUCAUGGAAUUUCACGUCUAUACCGCGCCAGAGACAGUUUAUAAGAGACAUGUCACUUCCUCAAUCCUCAAUACAACUAUAUAAGGAAAACCCGUAACGGCAAAGAUGGCGGUUGCGUGCACAAGUCCCGCCCCUCCCACUGGAAAGCCAAUCAUCUGCUUCUAACAGUCAAGCCGGGAAACAUUUAAGCCUAUCGUCUGGUUCCACUAACGUAUGUGCACAGUUGAGGAACCCUUGCGCAUGCGUAGUGAAGGUAUCCCGCGCUCACCAACAUUUCACCACACCUAAACCAUUCAGCUGCGCUCUGUGGCAUCAUAACACUGGCCAAAUGGGUGCUUGAGGGUACCGGUUCAUCCUCUUUUGUAGAUAAUUUCAGCAUUGACCCUGAAUUAAAUGAAACAUAAUAUAUUAGUCACUGAAGAAUUACUGAGUGCACUUUUAAAUAAACAGUUAUUGUUAGUUAAAAAAAAUAACAUAAUUAAAUUGAAAAAAAAAAAAACUUUGAUUUUAUUAAUACAUUUGUCAGAUUGAUUUUAUAGUCUCAAGCAUUCAGAGAAAAUAAAGCAGUUUUUGCUAUGGUUAAACCAUGGUUCAUUUUUUAAAUGAGAGGCUGUAGCAUUUAUAUCGCGAAAAAAGUGGCCAUGAUAUUUGAAUUGAAUGUUUGGAUUUUGACAGGCCUUUGGCGCCCUUUUUUUAGACGUUAGUAGUAAUAUGUAAUGUACAUAAUUUGUUUGUUUUGGAUUACAUUAUGUAUUUUUAACAGUGUCAUUCAAUAAAACCAUAUCAUUAUUAUUAAUUAACAAAUCGU